AGCGAACGCUGGCGGCAGGCCUAACACAUGCAAGUCGAACGGAUCCUUCGGGAUUAGUGGCGGACGGGUGAGUAACACGUGGGAACGUGCCCUUUGGUUCGGAACAACUCAGGGAAACUUGAGCUAAUACCGGAUGUGCCCUUCGGGGGAAAGAUUUAUCGCCAUUGGAGCGGCCCGCGUCUGAUUAGCUAGUUGGUGAGGUAAAGGCUCACCAAGGCGACGAUCAGUAGCUGGUCUGAGAGGAUGAUCAGCCACAUUGGGACUGAGACACGGCCCAAACUCCUACGGGAGGCGGCAGUGGGGAAUCUUGCGCAAUGGGCGAAAGCCUGACGCAGCCAUGCCGCGUGAAUGAUGAAGGUCUUAGGAUUGUAAAAUUCUUUCACCGGGGACGAUAAUGACGGUACCCGGAGAAGAAGCCCCGGCUAACUUCGUGCCAGCCGCCGCAGUAAUAC
rnacentral:rRNA from 1 species